CUACAAUGUUGGUUUUACGGGCUUACCAACAAACCUUACAACAAGGAGUUUAAUAAACAAAGUAAGAAGAUUUAAGCUCCUAGAUGAGCAAAUAUAACAAUAUAAUCUACAAAGAAGAGUUUAGAGAAUAGUUAUCGCUUGAUGUGACUUCUUUCUUCUUUGUCAAGGAUGCUUCACUCUUCAAGGGUGGAAGGAGCUCUUAAUGACUCUUGGAAUCUGCUCAACCACUUUCUUUUUACUCUUGAAUGAAGCUCUUGGAUGAAGCUUGCCUUACUAGGGUUUUCUCUUGAAUGCACUUGA
rnacentral:lncRNA from 1 species